ensembl:lncRNA
GUCACAUCCAACUCUGCAACCCCAUGCAUGCACUCUAUGCAUGCACAACCCCAGGCUCCUCUGUCCAUGGCAGAAACAAGAUUUGAAUCACUUUUCUUAAUUAAUUUAUAUUAGCACAUCUAUAGUAUAUUGUCACCCUGCUUAUUUAACUUAUAUGCAGAGUACAUCAUGCAAAAUGCCAGGCUGGAUGAAGCACAAGCUGGAAUCAAGAUUGCCUGGAGAAAUAUCAGUAACCUCAGAUACCCAUAUGACACCACCCUUAUGGCAGAAAACGAAGAACUAAAGAGCCUCUUGAUGAAAGUGAAAGAGGAGAGUGAAAAAGUUGGCUUAAAACUCAAUAUUCAGAAAACUAAGAUCAUGGCAUCUGGUCCCAUCACUUCAUGCAAAUAGAUGGGGAAACAAUGGAAACAGUGACAGACUUUAUUUUGGGGGGCUCCAAAAUCACUGCAGAUGGUAACUGCAGCCAUGAAAUUAAAAGAUGCUUGCUCCUUGGGAGACAUUACUUUACCAGCAAAGGUCCACAGUAGUCAUUCAUGGAUGUGAGAGUUGGACUAUAAAGAGAGCCAAGCACCAAAGAAUUAAUGAUUUUGAACGGUGGUGUUGGAGAAGACUCUUGAGAGUCCCUUGGACUGCAAGGAGAUCCAACCAGUCCAUCCUAAAGGAGAUCUGCUGCUGCAGCUGCUAAGUCGCUUCAGUCGUGUCCAACUCUGUGCGACCCCACAGACGGCAGCCCACCAGGCUCCCCCAUCCCUGGGAUUCUCCAGGCAAGAACACUGGAGUGGGUUGCCAUUUCCUUCUCCAAUGCAUGGAAGUGAAAAGUGAAAGUCAAGUCGCUCAGUCGUGUCCGACUCUUAGCAACCCCAUGGACUGCAGCCCACCAGGGUCCUCCGUCAAUGGGAUUUUCCAGGCAAGAGUACUGGAGUGGGGUGCCAUUGCCUUCUCCGCCUAAAGGAGAUCAGUCCUGAAUAUUCAUUGGAAGGACUGGUGAUGAAGCUGAAACUCCAAUACUAUGGUCACCUGAUGCGAAGAACCGACUCAUUGGAAAAGACCCUGAUGCUGGGAAAAAUUGAAGGCAGGAAGAGAAGGGGACGACAGAAGAUGAGAUGGUUGGAUGGCAUCACCGACACAAUGGACAUGAGUUUGAGCAGGCUCUGGGAGUUGGUGAUGGACAGGGAGGCCUGGCAUGCUGCAGUCCAUUGGAUCACAAACAGCGGAUACAACUGAGUGACUGAACUGACUGACAUAGUAAUCUCUUGGCACUCAGCACACUCCAUAAAGGUGCUUCCCAAAAAUGAGCCUAGGAGAAAACUGUGCUGUUUAAUUGGGAAAGCAAUGAGACAAGAAAGAAAGUACAGUACGGAACAAAAUGUGCAUCUUGGUGCUUCUGAAGAUUUUACAUAGUGACUGCACACAUGGAAGAGUAACCACAGAAACGUUUAAAUGGUGAAAUUUCAUAGCCAGGUAUAUCACAGUGAAAAGUAAAGAAAAAUGGAAAUGAAGAUUAUUCAACAUAUAGACCACCUAAGGAUGUAAUUAAUCAGAAAACAUAAGAACUGCAAAAGAAA